AUAAAGGCUUAGUUGAAUUGAGUUUGAGUUGUAUUAAUUAUUUGAAUUUGCAUGUAUUUAUGUAGUAUUCAGUAAUGAUAAUCGAAUUUGGGAAUAAUACAAGUGGUUUAAGGAGAAUUUUAAUUAGAUUCAAAAUAAGUAGUAUUCAAAUUAUUAAUAAGAUUUGGAUUUGAUUAGGGUAAUUUUUGGCGGGCACUCUUAUCUGUUGUAAUUCCUAUAAGUCGAUGUCAACUCAUAGAUUUUGUAUUGUGAUGGGACAGACCCCACAGAUGGAUUAUUGGAGAGUGACUAAUUUAUAGUCAUUUAGUAAGAUAUUAAUUUAUAUUCUUAUAAGACUAGCAGAGAAGUGCAGGUCUCAAACUGCAGUUAUUUUUUCAAUUUGCACAUUUUAUUAAAUAAAUUAUGGAAUAGCCAAUGUCCAAACUAAUAUCAACUACCUGUUUGGGUGCAUGAAAAAUAAAUAAGAAAAAGAAGAAAGUAUCAAGAAAU
rnacentral:misc_RNA from 1 species